GCAUUCAUGGUUUAGUGGUAAAAUUAGCCGUUGCCAGUGCUCCCAAGAGCUCAGAAGCUCGGCUAGCCCCGGGUUCGAUUCCCGGUGGAUGCA